UCUCUCUCUCUCUCUCUCUCUCUCUCUCUCUCUCUCUCUCUCUCUCUCUCUCUUUCUCUCUCUCUCUUUCUCUCUCUCUCUCAUUGUGGUGAGUAGCAGUAGCAGCAGCACUAGUUGUCUCAUGGAACUCAGUCAGGCAAAUUCUCCGGCUGUUUUCUCUCUGCUCAGAGGUAGUGGAAAAUUUAUUGCUCCUUUCUUCUCUUCUCCUCCUCUCUUCUCCUCUCUCCUCCUCUCUCUUCUCGUCCCCCUCUCACCCCUUGAGCUGGGGGUCAGCGGGGCUCUCUGUGUGUGAGGGAGGGGGGUUUAGGAUGGAAGCGAUGGCUCUCUAUUCGUUCCGAGCCACGGAGGGUGAUGAGCUCAGUUUCAACAAGGGAGACGUACUUAAGGUCAUCAACAUGGAAGAUGAUCCUAACUGGUACACAGCGGAGCUCAACAACAAGAAAGGAUACGUACCCAAAAACUAUAUCAAUCUGAGACCACACGCGUGGUUCGCAGGCCGUGUAUCCAGGGGGGUUGCAGAGGGCAGAUUGAGACAGAGAGACCGCGGAGCGUUCAUCGUGAGAGAGAGCGAGAGCGCUCCAGGAGAAUUCUCCAUGUCCGUCA